CACGCCGUAAACUAAUGCUCGCUAGGUGUCAGGCAUGGCGCGACCGUGUCUGGUGCCGCAGGAAGCCGUGAAGCGAGCCACCUGGGAAGUACGGCCGCAAGGCUGAAACUUAAAGGAAUUGGCGGGGGAGGCACCGCAACGGGAGGAGCGUGCGGUUUAAUUGGACUCAACGCCGGGAAGCUCACCGGAUAAGACAGCGGAAUGAUUGCCGGGCUGAAGACUCUGCAUGACUAGCUGAGAGGAGGUGCAUGGCGUAGACGUCU
rnacentral:rRNA from 1 species